rnacentral:lncRNA from 1 species
CAACAACAAUAAUAAUUAAAAACAAAAAAAAAGGUAUAUAUAUUAUAUCAAAUAUGAGAAGAGGAAAAAUGAACAGCUAUACAAUGAAUUCCUCCCAAAACCUGAUAAGGUCAGUACUAGAGCCACUACUACCAGAUACCCAGAAUACUAGAUAAAAUCUAAAAUGUCCACAAUAUACAUAAGUAGUCUCUAGUGCAAAAGACUAACUGGAGUAGAUAGAGAAGGAUCAGCUUCGGACGACAGCAAACUCACCCUGCUCUGAAUCAGUACUAAAAGGCAGAAUCACGUUAAUGUCGACUGCUAGUGCCCGGAUCUGCAUCAGGAAAAAGAUGUAGAAGUAUAGUAUGAGUACCAAAAGUCAUGGGUGCUCAGCAGGCAUCACUGAGUUCAAUACAGAAAAUGUAUAACUACAAUGCGAGGGUGUAAUCUGAGUCUUCAAUAAAUAGGGAUGGAAAGGCAACCAACUACCAAGCUACGCAACGGCUGUAAGUGAAUAAACAUAAGCAAUACAAAAAAAUAAAUAAUGCAGUAAUAACAGAUAAAUUAAACAUAACCUAACUAGGCCCCCAUAAGCCCACUAGGCACAUGACAUAACCUAACUGGGCCCCCAUAAGUCCGCUAGGCACACUGAAGAAGGCAAUUAACCUGUCUGUACUUUCAUAAGCCGAUGGAACACACAAGUAAUGAAAAUAAACAUAAAUAAUCUAUAACUGCGCUGAUCCCCAUAAAUCAUAAUAGUCUUGCGGAUGUGCACCGGACUUGAACCGACACCAAUGGGAAAUAACGAGAGGCCAGAUAUAUAGAAUUCAUAAUCAGAUGCCGGACUCGAACCGGAACUCAUAGUAAUCACAAUAACAUUUGCUGGACUCGAACCGGAACUCAUAUCAACCAUAAUAAUCAUUUGCCGGACUCGAAUCGAAACUCAUAGUAACCACAAUAAUCAUUUGCCGGACUCGAACCGAAACUCAUAGUAACCAUAAUAGUCAAUAGUCGGACUCGAACCGGAACUCAUAGUCACAAUCAUCAUCAGAUGCCGAACUCGAACCAAAACACAUAGUAAUCAUAAUCAUCAUUUGCCGGACUCAAACUGGAACUCACAGUAACCAUAAUAAUCAUUUGCCGGAAUCAAACUGGAACUUACAGUAACCAUAAUAGUCGAUUGUCGGACUCGAACCGAAACUCACAGUAAUCAUAAUAAUUUUUUGCCGGACUCGAACCGGAACUCACAGUAACCAUACCCACCAGAAAUAUUAAAAUUCAUACCAUAUCAUAACAAUGUCAAUGUCUAAAUAAUUAUCCGUUAAUCUUAAUUAAAAGGGGAUAAAUUUAAGAUUUUGUAAUUAAAUUUUAUGUCUCAAAGUGAUAGAUGUUAUACUAUAUUAAAAGAUAAUUUUUUUCAAAAAACUGUACUAAAAUAAUGUUCUAAUCCGGAUAAAUAAGACAGUUUAUAUAUAUAUAUAUAUAUAUAUAUAUCAAAAAUACACAUCUACAAGAAUUUAUCCAGGGUAACAUAAUAGUUAAUAUUUUCAAUAUAUAAGCUCAGCCUACCUAGACACCAAAGCUAUAAUAUCUUUCUGCAAAACCUUCAAAUAAUACUUCACUAGAAACCGAACUUGAAUAGAUGGAUAUGAAUAUUUUACUACACCAACUGAAAACUUAAAUUUUGAACAAAAGGAAGAAAAAUUAUAGAAAAAGAG